CGGACCUCAGAUCAGGCAAGACUACCCGCUGAGUUUAAGCAUAUCACUAAGCGGAGGAAAAGAAACUAACAAGGAUUUCCUUAGUAACGGCGAGCGAACCGGAAG
rnacentral:rRNA from 1 species